GAUGAACGCUGGCGGCGUGCCUAAUACAUGCAAGUCGAGCGAACGGACGAGAAGCUUGCUUCUCUGAUGUUAGCGGCGGACGGGUGAGUAACACGUGGAUAACCUACCUAUAAGACUGGGAUAACUUCGGGAAACCGGAGCUAAUACCGGAUGAUAUUUUGAACCGCAUGGUUCAAAAGUGAAAGACGGUCUUGCUGUCACUUAUAGAUGGAUCCGCGCUGCAUUAGCUAGUUGGUAAGGUAACGGCUUACCAAGGCAACGAUGCAUAGCCGACCUGAGAGGGUGAUCGGCCACACUGGAACUGAGACACGGUCCAGACUCCUACGGGAGGCAGCAGUAGGGAAUCUUCCGCAAUGGGCGAAAGCCUGACGGAGCAACGCCGCGUGAGUGAUGAAGGUCUUCGGAUCGUAAAACUCUGUUAUUGGGGAAGAACAUAUGUGUACGUAACUGUGCACAUCUUGACGGUACCUAAUCAGAAAGCCACGGCUAACUACGUG
rnacentral:rRNA from 1 species